UACGAAGGGAGCUAGCGUUGUUCGGAAUCACUGGGCGUAAAGCGCACGUAGGCGGAUUUGUUAGUCAGGGGUGAAAUCCCGGGGCUCAACCUCGGAACUGCCUUUGAUACUGCAGAUCUAGAGUCCGAUAGAGGUGGGUGGAAUUCCUAGUGUAGAGGUGAAAUUCGUAGAUAUUAGGAAGAACACCGGUGGCGAAGGCGGCCCACUGGAUCGGUACUGACGCUGAGGUGCGAAAGCGUGGGGAGCAAACAGGAUUAGAAACCCGAGUAGUCC
rnacentral:rRNA from 1 species